GUCCAGAGACCGUGGUGGGUCGUACCUAGAGUCAGCCAGAGCUCAGAGUGUCUGUGGAAGAUGCUACAGUUCAAUCAAACAGGUUUUAUUUAGGUUUUAUUUACCUGUAAACAUUUAUUUACACAACAUAUCCGUUCCUCCUCCGUCUGUGGCACAAAUAAAAACCUCCCGUUUCAGAUCCUGAAGCUGGAUCAGGUAUUUGGAACAGAGGCUGAUAUUUGGCAGCUCUCUGAUCGAUGCUAAAUGGAUUCAUAUGGAUCCUUUCAGAUUAAAUGGUAAAGGUUUAUAAAGCAGACCUCACUCACUUGCUUUUAGUGUAUUUAAAACCCACACAUGUUGGCCCCAAACAUUAAUUACCAGCAGACAAGAGGAGCUUUCAGCCUGUAAGUCCCGCUCUGCUGCGCCGCCGCUGCCAGAGUCAAAAUGGACACAAACUCAUUAGUGCGUUUUAGAGGUUUCGGGUUUAUUAGGCUUAGAGAAAGUUUCCUGCAGAGCUCGGCCAAAUGCCUUCGUUAUCGCAUUUAACCGCUAAGCUAAAUCACACAGGCUGAGUGCUGUUUUGGCUCCUUUGUUAGCCUCAGAGCUAACGGGUUAGUUAUACAGACUGGGAUUGUCAUUAAGAGCUUAAUGACAGCUCAAAUGUAGGCACAGGUCCAGGGUCAGUUAGAAAGAUAAAGUAAAUUAAAUGUGCUUGUAAAACACUCAUCAGGACUUAUUGCCUGUCUUUAAUCGGACACACACAGAGGUCGUUGUUUCAACUUUAUCUUCAUCGUGUUUCCUGCAGAAGCUCCGACACUGGCCCACGAGACCUUCAGAGCCAUCAAACCUGGACUGUCUGCGUACGCUGAUGAUCCAGAGAAGUGUAUAGCCGGUAUCGUGGAACUUCUGGAGGUGGCGAAGUCCAGCGUCCCCCCCUCCAUGUGGACCGUCACCCCCGUGGUCCUGAAAGCUACAGCCGGCCUGCGCCUGCUGCCGGGGGAGAAAGCCAAACACCUGCUGGACAAGGUGAGGGCGCUGUUUCUGGAGUCUCCCUUUCUGUCCGGAGACGACAGCGUGUCCAUCAUGGACGGCACUGAUGAAGGUAGGAAGUCUUCGGAGCAGCACCGAUAACAAACGUAGUGAACGUUUGAGCUGGAAGGUGACAAAGAUCUUUAGAGUUCAGUCACAAUUCAAAAUGGGCAACUUCCUGUCGGGAUAUGGCUCCAAGAGCUUUUAUUGUGAUUAAUUAGUGUUUGUAAGUUGCUCAGCAUUAAUGUAUAAAAGCAGCUGAAUGGUCCUUUAAUGGCGCCCUGUGGUUGCUGACCUCUCAUCAGGUCUCUUCAUCAGUUUAUUAGAUUACAGAGAAUCUGUCGUCUCCUCAUCCUUUCAUUUGUUUAAUCUGUGGAGCAGCUCAGAUGUUUCUCCUUGUUUAUCAGCGCACAGAGAAACCUCAGAGGUCCCGCUCUGAUUUCCCCAAGGCACACCGCCAAUAUGGAGGAUUAAACAAUAUGGAGGAUUAAACAAUAUGGAGGAUUAGAAAUGAGAUGAAACGAGAGACAAACGUUCUCGUGUAG